UACGGGGGGGGCAAGCGUUGUUCGGAAUUACUGGGCGUAAAGGGCUCGUAGGUGGCCAACUAAGUCAGACGUGAAAUCCCUCGGCUUAACCGGGGAACUGCGUCUGAUACUGGAUGGCUUGAGUUUGGGAGAGGGAUGCGGAAUUCCAGGUGUAGCGGUGAAAUGCGUAGAUAUCGGAAGGAACACCAGUGGCGAAAGCGGCUUCCUGGUCCAGCACCGACGUUCAGGCACGAAAGCGUGGGGAGCAAACAGG
rnacentral:rRNA from 1 species